GGCCGCUCCCGUGGCGGAGACCUAGCCGCCGCCUCCUCCUCCCGCACCCGCUCGUCCCUCCCCCUCCUCCUCUACGCCUCCUCCACCCUAACCCUAGCAGCACCCCACGCCGCCGCCGUCUCCUUCGCCGAGCCCGCCAGACCCCCGCCGCCCACCUCCCCUACGUCGUCGCCGUCGUCCACCACCACCGCCACCGCGGCCCCAUCCUCUUUCCAUCCCUGCCGGCCCCAAUCCCCUCACCUUCUCUCCCGUGGCCAGUGGAUUCGCCCCGCGACCGCGCCGCCCUCUCCUCCUUCCUCCGGCCUCCCUGCCGUGCCGCCCCGCCGCCUCCUCCCUCGCUCGCUUCCUCUCCUCCCGCAGUCGCCUCCCUCCCUCCCUCGCUCUCGUGCAGUCGUCGCGGCGCUCCCGCAUCUCCUCCCCUUCCUCUCCCACCGCCAUGUUCGCGGAGGCGCUGUAGAUCCCCGCCGACCAGGCCGCGCUGGCACUCGGGGCGCUCGCCGCCGUGCUCCCCAGCGACGACGACGGGCGCCGCCACCAGUGCCUCCUUCUCCGCUGCUACCUGACCUCCUCCUCCUCCCCUCGUGCCAUUCCCCAACCCUAGCCGCCGCUCCCCGCUGGCCAUCCUCCCCGUCCACGGCUGCCACGCGCGUUCCCGCACCAACCCACCACCUCGCCGCGGGGGCGCGUCCGCCGGGGCUGCCCUUCCACGCCGUCUCCGUCCGCCCCCGCCACUCAACGGCCACGUCGGCCUCGGCGUCAAGUGCGCCAAGGAGGCGGCCACGGCCAUCCGCGGCGGCAUCAUCCUCGCCAAGCUCUCCAUCAUGCCCGUUAGGAGGGGCUACUGGGGGAACAAGAACGACCAGCCCCAUACCGUCCCAUCGUCAGUACGGUGUGUGCCUCCCCUUCUUCCCCCUUAUCCUCUCCCCUUCGCUCGGGGAGAAGAGGAACCCAACCGAAUCAAAUCCAGGGGAGGAGAGGCAAUCUGUAGAUAGAUAG
rnacentral:rRNA from 1 species